rnacentral:misc_RNA from 1 species
AUGUUGCCAUGAGGUAUGAAUAUCUCAUCACAUUGCUUAUAUUGUCUUAGUUUUUGAUCCAUGAAAAUACUGGAACUAAAACAAUUUUAUAACAGGGCACUUGGUUUUGAAAUGACAGAAAAGAUAUCGUUAAUGUCCUAGUAUAUGAACAUGCUGAAGCGUUCAUUACUAUUGCCCAGUUUUAGAAUACUCUUUUUCUAUUGCAAUAUCUUUGCUCAAUCACUUUUUAUUCUUGAACAUAUUAAAAACAAGAAGAUUUCCACCUGAUUUACCUUCUCAAUUUGUAAGCCAUGAUAGAUUCCUCUUCCAAAUUCCUUUGCAUUUUGAACUUGACUUUACAUAAUUCUUAAAUGGGCCAUUUUAGCAAAUAAAUCAAAUGAUUACGGACGCGGACAAGGAUGGCAGUGGUGCUAUUGAUUUUGAUGAAUUUGUGCUUAUGAUGAUGGCCAAUAUUGGAGAAAGGGACACUAAGGAGGAGCUCAUGAAA